UGGUCCUAACCCUAAAGUCAACUCGUAUUCAACUUACACAUGCAAGUUUCAGCACCCCCGUGAGAACGCCCUAAACCUCCUAUUUGGAGGAAGGAGCUGGUAUCAGGCACACUAUAUAGCCCAAAACACCUAGCUACGCCACAUCCUCAAGGAACCCUCAGCAGUGACCAAUAUUGAAAAUAUGCGACAGCAAGAUUCAGUUAGAGUACAGAGAGCCGGCAAAAUUGGUGCCAGCCGCCGCGGUUACACCAAUAGACUCUAGUUGACCCUAUCGGCGUAAAGCGUGAUUAAAGUUUUUUUCCCCCAUUAAAGAUGAAAUCCUCACUAAGCUGUGACACGCUUGUGCAUGAGAAAGCCAGAAACGAAAGUUACUUUAAUUUAACCCACUUGAAUUCACGACAGUUAAGACACAAACUGGGAUUAGAUACCCCACUAUGCUUAAUCGUAAACUUUAAAUUACAACAUAAACGCCAGGGAACUACGAGCAAAGCUUAAAACUCAAAGGACUUGACGGUACCCCACAUCCACCUAGAGGAGCCUGUCCUAUAAUCGAUAACCCCCGCUUUACCUCACCAUUUUUAGUUAGUCAGUCUGUAUACCUCCGUCGUCAGCUUACCACGUGAGCGAACCAUAGUAAGCCUAAUGCCAAUGCGCCAAUACGUCAGGUCAAGGUGCAACUAAAAAAAUGUGGAAGAGAUGGGCUACACUCUCUAAUUUAGAAAACACGAAAAACUUUAUGAAAUCUAGUUAGAAGGCGGAUUUAGCAGUAAAAAGAAACUAGAGAGCUCUUUUUAAUACGGCACUGGGGUGUGUACACACCGCCCGUCACCCUCUUCAAGACCCUAACUUCAUAGUAUCUAACUAAUUCCCUACUUUAAGAAGAGGUAAGUCGUAACAUGGUAAGUAUACCGGAAGGUGUGCUUGGAAA
rnacentral:ncRNA from 1 species